UAGGCAGUGCCCUGGUGAGGACUCUGUGU
rnacentral:piRNA from 1 species